rnacentral:rRNA from 1 species
UACGAAGGGGACUAGCGUUGUUCGGAUUUACUGGGCGUAAAGCGCGCGUAGGCGGAUCACUAAGUCAGGGGUGAAAUCCCGAGGCUUAACCUCGGAACUGCCUUUGAUACUGGUGAUCUGGAGAUCGGGAGAGGUUGGUGGAAUUCCGAGUGUAGAGGUGAAAUUCGUAGAUAUUCGGAGGAGCACCAGAAGCGAAGGCGGCCAACUGGCCCGAUACUGACGCUGAGGCGCGAAAGCGUGGGGAGCAAACAGG